rnacentral:rRNA from 1 species
GUAACGGCGAGUGAAGCGGCAACAGCUCAAAUUUGAAAUCUGGCCCCAGGCCCGAGUUGUAAUUUGUAGAGGAUGCUUUUGGCGCGGUGCCUUCCGAGUUCCCUGGAACGGGACGCCAUAGAGGGUGAGAGCCCCGUACGGUCGGACACCUAGCCUCUGUAAAGCUCCUUCGACGAGUCGAGUAGUUUGGGAAUGCUGCUCAAAAUGGGAGGUAUAUUUCUUCUAAAGCUAAAUACCGGCCAGAGACCGAUAGCGCACAAGUAGAGUGAUCGAAAGAUGAAAAGCACUUUGAAAAGAGGGUUAAACAGCACGUGAAAUUGUUAAAAGGGAAGCGCUUGUGACCAGACUUGCGCCCGGCGAAUCAUCCAGCGUUCUCGCUGGUGCACUUCGCCGGCUCAGGCCAGCAUCAGCUCGCUGUCGGGGACAAAAGCUUCGGGAACGUAGCUCCUCUCGGGGAGUGUUAUAGCCCGUUGCACAAUACCCUUCGGCGGGCUGAGGUACGCGCUCCGCAAGGAUGCUGGCAUAAUGGUCAUCAGCGACCCGUCUUGAAACACGGACCAAGGAGUCAACCUUAUGUGCGAGUGUUUGGGUGUUAAACCCCUACGCGUAAUGAAAGUGAACGUAGGUGAGAGCUUCGGCGCAUCAUCGACCGAUCCUGAUGUUCUCGGAUGGAUUUGAGUAAGAGCAUAUAGGGUUGGACCCGAAAGAAGAUGAACUAUGCGUGUAUAGGGUGAAGCCAGAGGAAACUCUGGUGGAGGCUCGCAGCGGUUCUGACGUGCAAAUCGAUCGUCAAAUAUGCGCAUGGGGGCGAAA